AUCUUAUUAGUAUAAAGAGUAUAUUUGUUUUCCAAACAAAGGGUUUAAAAGUUAUUAAAUAAG
rnacentral:tRNA from 1 species